rnacentral:rRNA from 1 species
UACGGAGGGUGCAAGCGUUGUCCGGAAUCACUGGGCGUAAAGGGCGCGUAGGCGGCCUGGUAAGUAGGGGGUGAAAUCCUGCGGCUUAACCGCAGGGCUGCCUUCUAAACUGUCAGGCUUGAGCACGGUAGAGGCAGAUGGAAUUCCAGGUGUAGCGGUGAAAUGCGUAGAUAUCUGGAGGAAUACCGGUGGCGAAGGCGGCAUCCUGGACCAUUACUGACGCUGAGGCGCGAAAGCUAGGGGAGCAAACGGG